UACGUAGGGUGCGAGCGUUAAUCGGAAUUACUGGGCGUAAAGUGUGCGCAGGCGGCCGAGCAAGUCGAGUGUGAAAGCCCCGGGCUUAACUUGGGAAUUGCGCUCGAAACUACUUGGCUGGAGUGUGGCAGAGGAAGGUGGAAUUCCAGGUGUAGCGGUGAAAUGCGUAAAGAUCUGGAGGAACACCGAUGGCGAAGGCAGCCUUCUGGGCCAACACUGACGCUCAUGCACGAAAGCGUGGGGAGCAAACAGG
rnacentral:rRNA from 1 species